rnacentral:rRNA from 1 species
UACGUAGGGACCGAGCGUUGUCCGGAAUCAUUGGGCGUAAAGAGCGUGUAGGCGGCCCCUUAAGUCCUGCGUGAAAUCCUGCGGCUCAACCCCAGACGGUCGUGGGAAACUGGAGGGCUAGAGUGCGGGAGAGGAGAGUGGAAUUCCCGGUGUAGCGGUGAAAUGCGCAGAUAUCGGGAAGAACACCCGUGGCGAAGGCGGCUCUCUGGACCGAAACUGACGCUGAGACGCGAAAGCGUGGGGAGCAAACAGG